rnacentral:lncRNA from 1 species
CGACAUUUCUCUUUUUCUUAAAAAAAUUCAAUUAUUGAAAGUAUUGUUUAAAGUAUUCAUUUUAGGAGUGACCAAGACUGAGUCCAACCCAAAGACUCCUUCAGACACAGUAAUUUCGAGUUGCAACCAACUUGCCUUGUCCCAAACAAAAUAUGGGCAAACGAAUUGUCUCAAAUAGUAUUCUUUCUUCCUCCCAUUAAAAAAUAUUUGAAUUCUGCUCUUUACCUAACAAAAAUCACUUACACUCAACUGAACUUUCCAAAAUAUCUCUGCGUGAGUUAACUCACGUAUGUGUUAAAAUUAAGUCACGUUUUUUUACACUUGUGUGAGUUAACUCACACAUGAGUAUUUUAGAAAGUUUAGUGGGGUGCGAGUAAUUUUUGUUGGAUAAAUAGCAUAAUUCAAAAUAUUUGAGUUGACCUAAAUUAUCGAGACUAUUCUUAACAUGCACAUUCAUAGUUAAAUAGUUUGAGAAUAUUCUUAGAAGAGAACUGGAUUCUUUUCACAAGUCUUAUCAUUAGAACUAUUUUAAAAUUUUAAUAGUGGUAUUUAUACAUAUACAAUUUUAUUUUCCACGACUUACAUUUUAUGGCUCAAUUUUUGAGUCCCACGUCGAGUAGAUAAAAGUGUUUGGGUUGAGCUCUCUUCAUGAAUUUAAAUCCGAACAAUUGGUGCUCUCGUUGAGAGUUAGACCACAGAAAGGAUCACCCAUAGGUUGGAUUAAGGUGUUCCACCGAAUACUAAUAAGUGAGUGAAGCCAUCAAAGGUCAUGGACGUCAGCUAAUAGUGGACAUCGGCUCAUAAAGGGCGUGAUAAUGUUAUAAAUCCCAUAUCGAGUAUAUAAAAGUGUUUGAUGUGAUAUUUAAGCCAUGAUAUUUUCUCACAUUGAACUAGUCUUUUGAGUAAAACUCUCCGUAUACUAGGAGUAUAUUAGAAGUAGACACACUUGGUUGGUUGACUUUGCAAUUGUAGUAGUUGCAAUGACAUAAAUUUUCCAAAGACUAUACUUCUUUUUUUUUUUUUUUUGGUAGAUCCAAAGACUAUACUUCUUCUCCUACUUCAACCAUAUAAUAUAUAUACCAUAUCAAUUCUCAUAUCUCAUUUCUCAUACCUCUAUUCUCAUGGCUAUGCCACAAUCAUCUUCCUCCUCUUCUUCAUCCUCCUCCAAAUUCACCUAUAACGUGUUCCUAAGUUUCAGAGGAGCUGACACUCGCCAUGGUUUUACCGGCAAUCUUUACGAUGCUCUAUGUAAAAGUGGAGUCCACACUUUCAAGGAUGACGAGGAGCUUCAACGAGGGGGUGAAAUAACAGCAUCACUUAUGAAAGCCAUUGAAGAGUCCAGAAUUUUCAUCCCUGUUUUCUCAAAGAACUAUGCUUCUUCUUCAUUUUGUUUGGACGAACUUGUCCACAUCAUUCGUUACUCCAAGUCAAAGGGACGCCUGGUUCUACCAGUUUUCUAUGAUAUUGCUCCUACUCAUGUACGAAAGCAGACUGGGAGCAUCGGUGAAGAACUUGCGAAGCAUCAAGAGAAGUUCCAAAAGAAUAUGGAAAGGCUGCAGGAAUGGAAGAUGGCUCUUAAAGAAGCAGCUGAGCUUUCCGGCCACCACUUCAAUCUUGCGGGGUACUCCACUUCAUUCUUUGUUUCUUAUAUUAUCCAUUGUCUCAUCAUUUAAUCUUAUAACUUGAAUGGGAAAAGAUUUUAGAAUUAAUUGAAUCUUAGGGAUAAUAACGAUCAUCAUACGGGUUCAGUAAGUUUUUGAUUUUAUAUAAAUCUCAACUUUCGUUUUUUGUUCUCUAAAAAUUUACAGACGACCUGACAUUCGCGAUGGUUUUACCGGCAAUCUUUACGAUGCUCUACGUAAAAGUGGAGUCCACACUUUCAUGGAUGACGAAGAGCUUCAACGAGGGGGUGAAAUAACACCAUCGCUUGUGAAAGCCAUUGAAGAAUCCAGAAUUUUC